UACGGGGGGGGCAAGCGUUGUUCGGAAUUACUGGGCGUAAAGGGCUCGUAGGUGGCCAACUAAGUCAGACGUGAAAUCCCUCGGCUUAACCGGGGAACUGCGUCUGAUACUGGAUGGCUAGAGAUUGGGAGAGGGAUGCGGAAUUCCAGGUGUAGCGGUGAAAUGCGUAGAUAUCAGGAAGAACACCCGUGGCUAAGGCGGCUCUCUAGUACGGUACUGACGCUGAGACGCGAAAGCGUGGGGAGCGAACAGG
rnacentral:rRNA from 1 species